GCUUGUUCUAGCAGCAUCUUCUCUCCUGACGCUUCGCCUGCAUCUGUGGCUGGCAUUUUUCAGAAAGAGAUCUGACGUUGGUGCUGCCAGUGGAGUAUAUAUAUCUGUUUUGGAGUGUCCAGGGAUGGGUUGGAGAAACCUUUGUCUGUGAGUAACAUGUUAGGGCUGCAACCAGGUCCAAUAGUUGAGGGCAUCUGAAUAGAAGUAUGAGUAACAAUGAAGACUAUAGCAUGGGCGUAACACUGGAGAUAGCAAGGUCACUGAUCUUUGUGGAGUCCAAAACU